AGUGAACGCUGGCGGUAGGCCUAACACAUGCAAGUCGAACGGCAGCACAGUAAGAGCUUGCUCUUACGGGUGGCGAGUGGCGGACGGGUGAGGAAUACAUCGGAAUCUACUUUUUCGUGGGGGAUAACGUAGGGAAACUUACGCUAAUACCGCAUACGACCUACGGGUGAAAGCAGGGGAUCUUCGGACCUUGCGCGAUUGAAUGAGCCGAUGUCGGAUUAGCUAGUUGGCGGGGUAAAGGCCCACCAAGGCGACGAUCCGUAGCUGGUCUGAGAGGAUGAGCGGCAGAGCUGGGAGGAAUAGACGAUGCGGGGCGCUAGGCGAGGCAGCAGAGGGGAAGUGUGGACAGGGGGCCUGAGCGUGAUACAGCCAUUCUGGGUGGAAAAAAAAGGCGUCCGGUUUGUAAAGCCCUUUUGGUGGGAAAGAAAAGAAGCAGCUUAAGACCACGCUGUGCUGGCGGUACCCGAAAUAUAAGCAACGACUCACUUCGUG
rnacentral:rRNA from 1 species